GCCAUGGAAACGGUCAAACAACUCGAGAUACAGCAAGCUAACAGCCCUGAGGAGCCGCGCGAGCUACGGCAGUAAAAGCGCCUCUGUUUUUCGGAGUUUGCUUCAUCCCAUCGCCCGUCCUCCAUCAGCCUCUGGUCUGGUCUCAGACGGCUGUCGGUCGUUGCCACCCCAUCCUCCAGCUCAUUUAAGCAGUUUGGGGGACAGAGUCUGGUAGACCAUCUUCUGCUUGCCCUCUGACCCGCUGCCUCCUCGGCUGCUCUGAACGAUCUUGGC